rnacentral:rRNA from 1 species
ACCCAGACUCCUACGGGAGGCAGCAGUGAGGAAUAUUGGUCAAUGGCCGGAAGGCUGAACCAGCCAAGCCGCGUGAAGGACGAAGGUGCCAAGCAUUGUAAACUUCUUUUGUCAAGGGACAAAAUCAGGCUCGAGAGCCUGACCGAGGGUACUUGAAGAAAAAGCAUCGGCUAACUCCGUGCCAGCAGCCGCGGUAAUACGUAGGUGGCAAGCGUUAUCCGGAUUUACUGGGUGUAAAGGGCGUGUAGGCGGGAAAGCAAGUCAGAUGUGAAAACCAUGGGCUCAACCUGUGGCCUGCAUUUGAAACUGUUUUUCUUGAGUACUGGAGAGGCAGAUGGAAUUCCUAGUGUAGCGGUGAAAUGCGUAGAUAUUAGGAGGAACACCAGUGGCGAAGGCGGUCUGUUGGACAGCAACUGACGCUGAGGCGCGAAAGCGUGGGGAGCAAACAGGAUUAGAUACCCUUGUACG